GAUGAACGCUGGCGGCGUGCCUAAUACAUGCAAGUAGAACGCUGAAGCUUGGUGCUUGCACCGAGCGGAUGAGUUGCGAACGGGUGAGUAACGCGUAGGUAACCUGCCUCUUAGCGGGGGAUAACUAUUGGAAACGAUAGCUAAUACCGCAUAAAAGUCGAUAUCGCAUGAUAUUGAUUUGAAAGUUGCAAAUGCAUCACUAAGAGAUGGACCUGCGUUGUAUUAGCUAGUUGGUGAGGUAACGGCUCACCAAGGCGACGAUACAUAGCCGACCUGAGAGGGUGAUCGGCCACACUGGGAGUGAGGCACGGCCCAGACUCCUACGGGAGGCAGCAGUAGGGAAUCUUCGGCAAUGGGGGCAACACUGACCGAGAAACGCCGCGUGAGGGAAGAAGGUUUUCGGAUCGUAAAGCUCUGUUGUAAGAGAAGAACGAGUGUGAGAGUGGAAAGUUCACACUGUGACGGUAACUUACCAGAAAGGGACGGCUAACUACGUG
rnacentral:rRNA from 1 species